GAUGAACGCUGGCGGCGUGCCUCAAACAUGCAAGUCGAGCGGGGCUAUGUAAUACCGCAAGGUAGAACAUAGCCUAGCGGCGAACGGGUGAGUAACACGUGGGUAACCUGCCUGGAGGACAGGGAUAACGAUUCGAAAGGGUCGCUAAUACCUGAUAAUAUCCUUUCAUCGCAUGGUGAUAGGAAGAAAGGGGAAACCCGCUUUCAGAUGGGCCCGCGUCCCAUCAGCUAGUUGGUAAGGUAAAGGCUUACCAAGGCGACGACGGGUAGCCGGUCUGAGAGGAUGUACGGCCACACUGGGACUGAGAUACGGCCCAGACUCCUACGGGAGGCAGCAGUUGGGAAUCUUAGGCAAUGGACGAAAGUCUGACCUAGCGACGCCGCGUGAGGGAAGAAGGCCUUCGGUUGUAAACUCUGUCAUGGGGAAGAAGUAAGUGACGGUACCCAACGAGGAAGCCCUGCUAACUACGUG
rnacentral:rRNA from 1 species